rnacentral:SRP_RNA from 2 species
GCCGGGCAUGGUGGUGCAUGCCUGUAGUCCCAGCUUCCCGGGAGGCUGAGGUGGGAGAAUUGCUUGAACCCGGGAGGCGGAGGUUGCAGUGAGCCGAGAUCGGGCCAUUGCACUCCAGCCUGGGUGACAGAGUGGGACCCUGUCUCAA